CCUGCGCGGUGCCGGGGCGAAGCAGCCCGCCGCCUCCUGCCGCGGGCGGGCCGGUGCCUGGCGGCGGGUCCGGGCGCUGAGCGGCCGCCCCUCGCAGCUAGGGUGGGAGCCGGGGCCGCUGGCGCGGAGCGCUGGACUGGCGGCUGCGCGCCCUGGUCGUGAGCGCCCCGCCGGCCCUGCGGCUGAGGGAGCCGGGGCGGCCCAGCGGGGCAGCGCGCCCUUCCUGGCGGGGCGGGGGGCCGGUCAGCGCGCGGGCCUGCGGCGGCGGUGCCCGCAGAGCCGGGCGGGGGGUGCGGAGAGGCUCUUGCUCCGACCCUGCCUGUUGCCCUCUCCCGCUGCCGGCUCGGCGCGGAGCGGCCGCAGCCUUGGCCGGCGGGGGAUGCCCCGGCUGCAGCUGCAGGCACAGGGAGAAGAACGGGAAGUACAGCCCUCCGCGGGGGUGGGAUGUCUCCGGGGCUCCAGCCGGGGUAAGGAGCGAGAGCAGACGGGAGCUUUUGCUGGUGAGAGGAAAAGUGUGCCGUUCUUCAGGAACGGGUUGGGUGUUUACUAAGGGGUAAGUGCGUAAAUAGCUAAUGCAAGCUGGAGCAGGAAGGAUGCAAGAGUUCAGAAAGGUGAAGCGUGCUCUUGGCGUGCUGCUGGCUGCUGCAAGCGCUUUCAGCCCGCGAUCUAGCCCACCUGGGGGUGUGUUGGACUGGUUUCAACUAGCAACCCAGAAAGAGGAUUGAGCACGGAUCUGUUGCUGCUUAUCACAGGGUACUGGUUGAAUUACCUUUCAUGUGCUCCUCUUCAAGGAAGCUACAGGGGCACCUCAGUGUGGGGAGCGCAGGUUGGAAGCUUAAUAGAAACUGGUGAAGUCACUGCAGCACCUAAAUAUUCUGCAGUUUUCCAGUACAACCUUUUACAGCUCAAAUAAGUUAUCUGUAGUCUUGCCCCUUUGCAGUGAAUAAGGGUGAGCUAGCCACUGGCCUUUGAAGCUGGUUGCUAUGAAGGUCUUGUCCUCAUCAUAAGAUGACGACCAGAUGGAGAGCUUCUGUGUUAAUGAUGUUGCACCUCAAAGGAGGAAAACCGUAAGUAAAGAUUUAUCUGUUAUAGCAGCUAGAUGGGAAAACUGCUUCAAGGUGGGGGAGGAAGAAACAGUGUAAAAGGAGCUGGACUGACAGGAGAAACAAAGGUGCCCUGCCUGCAAGCUGGAACUGGUCCUGAGCACAGGUGUUGGAGCAGCAUCUCACCCAACAGGGCUAUACUUCUCUUAUUUCCUCUGGCCUUGUGGCCAUUUGUGCUGUGGGGAGAGGCUGUGCAGCUGGUGCAGGUGGCAGAACGGCUGUGUCAGGGCUGCCUGUGAGCCAGGCUCAUGGGGGAGACCCAGCUGGAUGCGGAGCAUUGGAGGCAGGUCUGGGAGAGUCCAGCCAAAGAGCAGGAUUGUGAGCAGUCUGCCGUUUGCAUCUAGAAGAUCUGGAAGGGCAGCCUGCAGUGCAGAUACACCAGGCUUGAGAGGCGGAAGGAGAUGGUUGCCCUUAGAAUGUACCUCCCUGUGGAGCUGCCCCAAUACACCUGCACAGGAUGUCAGACACAGUCUUCCUUUCCUGAGGGAUCAUUCUGCAUGCUUAGCAUGGAUUAACUUUUGAGAGGACUGCUCCACAGCUCAGCUUCUUCCGGACUGGACUUGUGGCUCCAUGACCUGUUUGUGCUGUGAUGGCUCUAGUGGGUCAGGUGAGAUCUGAACGAAGUCACUUUAGGAGGAGUGGGUAGACAGUGGCAACCAGCAAGGAUUCACAAGAAACUGGUCACUGCAAGAAUAACCCAGAAGUACUUGGGUUGCAGUAAAAAGCAAACCUUAACUCAGAGCCCAUGCAGGCACUGUUCCAAAGUGUCUUGGGACUGCCUUGGUCUGUGUGAGUCUGUCUUUUUUCCAGGUCUGCCUGUGUCCUUGCAAGUCUCACAGUGAGUUUGUAGUGCUGCAACACUGCAGCGCUGUUAUGUGGCAUGUCCCUGGCCCCAUGUCUGUAUCCAUCUGAUUUGUUCUUACCAAGCUAUAUGUGCCCACAGGCUAGAAACAAUCUUACACACCACACCCCCCCAGCAUUCGUCCAUUCUUCAAACACCUCAAAAAGAACAUAUAGUGUGACAAACUGAAUCAAAGUG